GCCCCGUUCGUCUAGCGGUCAGGAUGCAGCCCUCUCAAGGCUGAGACAGGAGUUCAAGUCUCCUACGGGGUACCG
rnacentral:tRNA from 1 species